GCACCGUUUGGUGUGUGUGUGUGUGUGUAUGUGUGUGUACAUGCGCGCAUGUGCAUUUGUGUGUGUGUGUGUAUGUGUGUGUAUUUGUGCUUACACAUGUGCACGUGAAAGUAUGUGUAUAUAUGAAUGUAAGUGUGCAUGUGUAUGUGUGUGCAUGUGUGUAAGUAUGUGUGUUAAUUGUGUUUUUUGUGAGCAAGUAAAUAAAUAAAUAGUUCUUUCUUAAAGCAGCAAAAGAAAAGCAGCAAGUCAUGUAAAAAUAAGUCCCAUCAGAAUAACAGCAGAUUUAUCAGUAGUUAUCUUACAGACAAGCGGAGGAUGGCAUUAUAUACUCAAAGCUGUAAAAAAUAAUUUUUCAAUCAAAAUAUACCUAGAAAAGCUAUCCCCCAAGGAUGAAAGAGAAGUGAAAACUUUCCUAAAGAAAACAAAAACUCAAGACAUUUGUCAGCAUUUUAUCAGCUCUACAAGAGAUGCCCAAGGGAGCAGUUUAUAGAAAUUGAAGGAUGACUACCAAUAUACAAAUGCACAAAACUACAAAAAAAUGUGCAAAAUAGUGCUAAAAUAUGCAGGUGAAUGAGGAAUCUAACUCUAUUUGUACAAAGAAAUCACCAAGGCACAAAAAUGAACAAGAAAGGUGGGAACAAAAAAAGGAUACACAAAACCAGAAAAAAAUGACAGUACUGACUAUUCAUUGUUAAUAAUGUUAAAUAUUGCACUGGCAGUUCUUCUCUUUUUUUUUUAUUUUAUUAGAUAGUUUCUCCAAUUACAUUUCAAAUGUUAUCCCCUUUCCUGGUUUCCCCUCUGAAAAUCCCUUUCCCUUAACUCCUUCCCUCUCCCCCUGCUCACCAACCCACCCACUCCAACUUCCUGUCCCUAGCAUUCCCCUACACUGGAGCAUGGAGCCUUCACAGGAUGAAGGGCCUCUCCUCCCAUUGAUAACCAACUAGGCCAUCCUCUGCUGCAUAUGUAGCUGGAGCCAUGAGCCCCACCAUGUGUAUUCUUUGGUUGUUGGUUUAGUCCCUGGGAGCUCUGUGGAUAGUGCUUAGUUCAUAUUGUUGUUCCUCCUAUGGAGCUGUAAACCCCUUCAACUCCUUUGGUCCUUUCUCCAGCUCCUUCAAUGGGGACCCUGUACUCAGUCCAAUGGAUGGCUGUGAACAUCCACUUCUGUAUUUGUCAGGCACUGGCAAAGCCUCUCAGGGGAAAGCUAUAUCAGGCUCCUGCCAGCAAGCACUUGUUGGCAGCUACAAUAGUGUCUGGGUUUGGAUGGAUCCCCAGGUGGCACAGUCUCUGGAUGGUCAUUCUUUCAGUCUCUGCUCCCCAUUUUGUCUCUGUAACUCCUUCCAUGGGUAUUUUGUUCCCACUUCUAGGAAGGAUCGAAGUAUCCACACUUUGGUCUUCCUUCCUCUUGAGUUUCAUGUGGUUUGUGAAUUGUAUCUUGGGUAUUUCGAGCUUCUGGCUAGUAUCCACUUAUCAGUAAGUGUGUAUCAUGUGUGUUCUUUUGUGAUUGGGUUACCUCACUCAGGAUGAUAUCCUCCAGAUCAAUCCAUUUGCCUAGGAAUUUCAUAAAUUCAUUGUUUUUAAUAACUAAGUGGUACUCCAUUGUGUAAAUGUACCAUAUUUUUUUUUUAUCCAUUCCUCUAUUGAGGGGCAUCUGGGUUCUUUCCAGCUUCUGGCUAUUAUAAAUAAGGCUGCUAUAAACAUAGUGGAGCAUGUGUCCUUAUUACCUGUUGGAGAAUCUUUUGGAUAUAUGCCCAGGAAUGGUAUGGCUGGGUCCUCAGGUAGUACUAUGUCCAAUCUUCUGAGGAACCGCCAGACUGAUUUCCAAAGUGGUUGUACCAGCUUGCAACCCCACCAGCAAUGGAGGAGUGUUCCUCUUUCUCCACAUCCUCACCAGCAUCUGCUGUCAUUGGAGUUUUUUAUCUUAGCCAUUCUGACUGGUGUGAGGUGGAAUCUCAGGGUUGUUUUGAUUUGCAUUUCCCUGGUGACUAAGGAUGUUAAACACUUUUUAGGUGCUUCUCAGUCAUUCAGUAUUCCUUAGUUGAGAGUUCUUUGUUUAGCUCUGUACCCCCAUUUUUUAAUAUGGUUUUUUGUUUUUCUGGAGUCUAACUUCUUGAGGUCUUUGUAUAUAUUGGAUAUUAGCCCUCUAUUGGAUUUAGGAUUGGUAAAGAGAUAUGAGCACAGGGGGAAAAUUCCUGACCAGAGCACCAAUGGCUUGUGCUGUAAGAUCAAGAAUUGACAAAUGGGACCUCAUAAAAUUGCAAACCUUCUGUAAGGCAAAGGACACUGUCAAUAAUACCAAAAGGCAGUUCUUAUUUCUUUUUCUGGUUUUUUUUUGAGGCAGCAGAGGGAGAAGAGUGUCAGCGAGGGUAAUUUUUGGUCUUAGGAGAUAUUUAGGGUUGCUGUAUAAAGCAUCUUCUUGUAUUAAGUCUAAGUCGAUUUAGC
rnacentral:lncRNA from 1 species